rnacentral:rRNA from 1 species
ACGGGGAGGCCCGUAGCACAGGUGCUGCAUGGCCGUCGUCAGCUCGUGCCGUGAGGUGUUGGGUUAAGUCCCGCAACGAGCGCAACCCCCGCCGUUAGUUGCCAGCGGUUCGGCCGGGCACUCUAACGGGACUGCCCGCGAAAGCGGGAGGAAGGAGGGGACGGACGUCUGGUCAGCAUGGCCCUUACGGCCUGGGCGACACACGUGCUACAAUGCCCACUACAAAGCGAUGCCACCCGGCAACGGGGAGCUAAUCGCAAAAAGGUGGGCCCAGUUCGGAUUGGGGUCUGCAACCCGACCCCAUGAAGCCGGAAUCGCUAGUAAUCGCGGAUCAGCCAUGCCGCGGUGAAUACGUUCCCGGGCCUU